rnacentral:rRNA from 3 species
GAGAGUUUGAUCCUAGCUCAGGAUGAACGCUGGCGGCGUGGAUAAGGCAUGCAAGUAGAACGCCGAGCACCACUUUGUUUCUAAUUUUCUCAGUUUAAGGUUAAAGUUUUAAAAAUCUAUUUUAAUGAGAAGUGAUUGGAGCUGAAGUGGUGCUCGGAGUUGCGAACGAGGUAGUAAUACAUAGGUACAAACCCCAGAGUCAGGAAUAACCUACCGAAAGGUAGGCUAAUACUUGAUGGUCCCGCAAGGGUAAAGAUUUAUCGCUUUGGGAUUGGCCUGUGCAGUAUCAGCUAGUUGGUAGGGUAAUGGCCUACCAAGGCAAUGACGCUUAGGAGAGCUGAGAGGCUGACCUCCACCGAUGGUACUGAGACACGGACCAUACACCUACGGGUGGCUGCAGUCGAGAAUCUUCCGCAAUGGACGCAAGUCUGACGGAGCGACGCCGCGUGAUUGAUGAAGUCUUUCGGGAUGUAAAGAUCUUUUAUGUAGGAGAAAGUUUUGAUAGUACUACAUGAAUAAGGGGUUGCUAAACUCGUGCCAGCAGCAGCGGUAAUACGAGUACCCCAAGCGUUAUCCGGAAUUAUUGGGCGUAAAGGGUAUGUAGGUUGUUAUGUUAGUCUUUUGUCAAAGCCUUCGGCUCAACCGGAGAAUUGCGGGAGAAACGGCAUAACUAGAGGGCGCGAGAGGUUUGCGGAACUCAUGGUGUAGGGGUGAAAUCCGUUGAUAUCAUGGGGAACACCAAAAGCGAAGGCAGCAAACUGGCGCGUUUCUGACGCUGAAAUACGAAAGCGUAGGUAGCGAAUGGGAUUAGAUACCCCAGUAGUCUACGCCCUAAACGAUGAUAUCUAGCUAUUCGGAGUAUCGACCCUCUGAGUGGCACAGCUAACGCGUUAAGAUAUCCGCCUGGGAAGUACGACCGCAAGGUUAAAACUCAAAGGAAUAGACGGGGACUUGCACAAGCGGUGGAUCAGGUGGCUUAAUUCGAUGGUAAACGAAGAACCUCACCAGGGUUUGAAACUCAUAGGAAAGACCUAAGAAACUAGGUAACUCCGCAAGGACUUAUGAGCAGGUGAUGCAUGGCCGUCGUCAGUUCGUGGUUUGAACUGUCCCCUUAAGUGGGUCAACGAACGCAACCCUCGUUGUCUGUUAUACGUGUCAGACGAGACUGCCCCCGCCAGAGCGCACUUCGUGCGGAAUUAUAAAUGUAAAAUUUUUAAUUUUUAAAUAAUGUUUUAAUUCUUAAAUUAAGAAAUUAGAAGAAUUUGUUUAAAAAUUUGAAAUUUGAAAUUUGAAAUUCAACGUAAGUGAAGCGCGUUGUGGCGGGGGAGGAAGGAGAGGAUGACGCCAGGUCAGCAUGUCCCUUUGAUACCCUGGGCUGCACACUUGAUACAAUGGUCACUACAACGGGUCGCGACGAGGUAACUCUGAGCUAAUCCUAAUAAAGGUGGCCCCAGUUCGGAUUGAGGGCUGAAACUCGACCUCAUGAAGUUGGAAUCGCUAGUAAUCGCGGGUCAGCUAUACCGCGGUGAAUACGUUCUCAAGUCUUGUACUCACCGCCCGUCAAGUCAGGGGAGCCGUGAGUACCCGAAAUCCCAGCUAGUCUGGGCUUAAGGUAAGCAUGGUAACAAGGACUAAGUCGUAACAAGG